GCCUGUGUGGGGAAUUUUCUUGAUUGAUGAUUAAAACAAAAGGGCCUAGGCCAUUGUGGAUGGUGCCAACCCUGGGCAGGCAUCUUGUGUAUAAAAAGGUAAACUGAGCAAACCAGGAGGAGCAGGCCAGCAAGUAGUAUUCCUUCAUGGCCUCUGAUUCAGUUCCUGCCUCCAGGUUCCUGCCUUGUCUUUCCUUCAUGAUAAACUAUAAACUGUGAACUGAACUAGACCCUUUCUUCCCCAAAUGGCUUUUGGUCAUGGUGUUUAUCACAGCAAUAAAAGCUAAAGAAAUAUAUGAGUUGACCCUGAUAAAUGGAUAUUUCAGUAUUGAGACUAUGUCCCAUCCUGCUCAGCUCUGGCCUCCCCAUGCUUGAGCUCACAAAAACUGGAGAUAGUAUCAUUAAGAGCUGUAUUAGCUACUUGUAACAAAAUACCUAACUAGAGACACAGGAGGGAGGAAGGACCACGGAGGGAAUACUUGGCAUGGGCUCCUGCAAAGCUGGUCACAUUGUAUCUGCAGUCAGAAGGAGAACGACAUGACAGCUGGUGGCUGGCUCGGAUCCUCCUUUUUACCUUUUGAGUUCACUCUAGGAUCAAUCGUGGCAGAGUGCCAUCCACAGUUAGGGUGUGCCUUCGCUCCUUAGUUAAAUAUCUCUAGAUAUUGUUAAUCCCAACACAUAAGAAUAAGAUCACUACCCUAUUUUUGAGUCAAAUUUGAAGCACGUUUUAUUUAAUGCUGGCCAGGAUGAUGGCUAUUGGUCAGGUCCAUACCAAGGAUUCCUAGAGAAGGGUGCCGCGUUACAGUAGUCAGGGACUUAGAAAGGCAAAACCUCCUGUCUUUGUCUAACUGGAGGCAAGCACAUGUCCUGACAUACUUCCUGCCUAUGUGUGAUCAAGUACAUCCUGUGUAGUUAGGGCAACCAACCUUGCUUACUGAAGUGAACACAUGUGACUUCCUACUGUGCAUGGACAACCCCCAGCGUUCCAGGAAGUUAUCCUUGGGAAUAUGGAGUUUACGGGUGGGGCUUACAGGCUAGAGACAUUUUUUUUUUUUUUUUUUGGUUCUUUUUUUCGGAGCUGGGGACCAAACCCAGGGCCUUGCGCUUCCUAGGCAAGCGCUCUACCACUGAGCUAAAUCCCCAGCCCCUAGAUCUCUUAAGCACAGUAAUUAAAAUAAAAAAAAAAAAGAACUAGCCCUUAUAAUAUGGGCUUCAAGGUAUCCAGUCAAGUCCAAGACAAUGAAAAUUAACCACUAAAGGUUUACUACUUGUCAAUUUGACUGGCAUGCUGUAGUAGUCUGGGUUUUCUUUUUUUCUUUUUUGUUUUUUUCAGAGCUGGGGACCGAACCCAGGGCCUUGCUCUUGCUAGGCAAGCGCUCUACCACUGAGCUAAAUCCCCAACCCCGUAGUCUGGGUUUUCUAGAGUGGCUAUUCUCAACCUUCCUAAUGCCAUGACUCUUUAAUACAGUUUCUCAUUUUGUGGUUACCCCCAACCAUUUUGUUACUGUUAUGAAUCUUAAUGCAAAUAUUUAUUUUCUGAUGGCAAAAAUCAUGCCCUUCCUAGAGUGCAAGACAAUCAUAGUUAGCAGCUGUGGACAAUCUGAAGCAGCCUUAUAUUCCACAUCUGGGAUUAAAACAAAAAAAAUCAUACAGUGUAACAUAGUUUUUAAAGAAAAUAAACUUUUCACUUCAAAUAUGAGCCCUGAUUUAUCGAGUCCCAACAACUAAAACUGCACCCUGCUUGGACUUGGUACUGAAAGGUCUCAGAGCUUUGAUGCCCCAUCCUAUGUGGUUGGGGCUGAGGUGGGUCCUUCCUGAUUAUAGUCUAUUAACUGAAUGGGGACUGGUGCCCAGAGGUUCCCCUUCUACCCUGAGCCUUAUUCCCCGAUCUGUGACAUGCCUGGGCCACCUCUUUCUGCAGGAUUUUGGGGAAUCACCUCCACCAUGCCCAAAGUAGGAGCUGGCUGAGGUCCAUCCACCUAGCCAGUCCAUCUCUGCUCCAGAGCACAAGUACCCAGCAGCCUUUGGGCCAGCAUGCUGGAGAAACAGAACAUGCUCACCUUCCCAGUGGGGUAGUGGGUAAGGGACAUGGACCUAUUCACCAGAGGCCUGGAAACUGGGUGGGAGGGGCUAACAGGGGUUCUUAGACUAGACACUGUUCUGAUUUAGGAGGUGGACAGGGUCACAUAGCUGAGAGAAAUUGGUGCUUUUCAGCCAAGUGGGCAACGUCAGUCAAGUGUCACCUAACUAUUCUAUCUCAUUCUAUCCACCCCAAGGAAGAAGAAGUCUGGGGUACUCGACCUGGCCUAAGAAGAUGAAAUCUUUAGAGAGAUACCUUCCCACCUUGUGGACAUACUGCUGCUCAAGGCAAAGAAUGUUCUAAACAGAAAGGUCCACGGGGAAGGAUACAGGCCUGCUUAGCUCCAGGACUGGAAGCCCUGCUGUGGUUGGUAGUUUAUGGCAGACAGCCCAUGCUUUUCAGAGCAUCGUGGUUCAUCAUGUGGAAGGAAUAUGGUCUAGGCCAGCUCCCUGAAAGUUUUGGGAACACUGAGGAUGGUGACAACGUGACUAAACCAUCGUGAUGGCCAUGAACAGUUUUCGCAGGGAGGCAACUCUGGGGUGGCACCAGAGGCUGUGUGUGUUGGGGCCAGGCCCAUUCUCUGUGGUGAAAUGCUCGUCUAGGAGUCUGCUCAGUGCAAGUGAGCAGGCCAGCUACUGCCUGCUCCUGUCAGCCUGGCCCCUGUUUGAGGACAGUGGCCUUCAGAGCCGGAAUGGGACAGGAAGGUGCUUAUAGCACCCCAAGGUCCCACAGGACCCCACAAGCUCCCCUGAAUCCUCAUGAGCUUCCAUAAACCCCAGAGCCCUCUUCAGAGGAAGGUCUUCUUACUGGCUCACUCUUCCUCCCCUGACUCCCACAGUGUGAGCAGCCAGCCACAGGUGGAAGAGGUCGUGACGAGGUCUGCUGUAGGGAAUGUCUUGAUCUGGCUAAUCUCAUGACUUUAAGUUGGGUGUGGUGAUGCAUAUCUAUAACCUUGGCACCUAAGAAGCUGAGGCAGGAGGAUUGUAAAUUCAAGAUCAGCCUGGGCUACAUAGCAAGACCAUGUUUCUAAAAAACAAACAAAAAUCUGACUGUUCUGCAAGAUGCUUUGUGCUACCACACCAUGGUCACCUAGCCACUAACCACCAGUGACAGUCCCCCGUAAGGCUCGGCAGAAGGGCAGACAAUGGCACUCCCUUGGGACUGAGACCGAGGCCUCUGAAGGCCCUUUAAAGAUGUUUCAGGGUUGAGGAGAAGCCAGACAAUAAUGGGCCCAGAGUCCACAGGACUCAGGAUGCUGGGUAUAAGGAUUAGGUACAAGCCAGCAGGAAGAUGGGAGGGUCCCAAGGAAGGAGUAGGGUGCAGGGACCUUGUUGGUGCUGGGAUUAGCCCAGCCCCUCUCUACUCUGUGCAAGGAUGGUGGGACAGCUGGUGUAUGAAAAUUGUGGCUACACAGUUCCCCUGGGGCAGUGGCAAGAAAAAACAACAACAACAACAACAACAACAACAAACAAUAACAAAAACAAAACAAAAAAAAAACGACUACCAAGACCUCAGCCCAGCAUGCUCACAGCUCAGGAUGCUCAGAGUCCUGGUUUCUUGGGUUCUGUCCUCUUUGAGGAUACUAGAGGCCAGGUCUUCACUCUGUGUUCUCAAGCUUCUGGCCUGUCCAGGCACCAGUGGGCUCCCACAGGCAUCCCUAUGUUCUUUUAUUAACAGAAUGCCCAAGGCUUGAGACAGUUAAGCUUUAGUCACGGUGGUUUCAGAGCCCGCCUCUCUGGCCUGCAGCAUGUCAUGGCCUUGAAUAUCCCCCAAGGACUGACCUCAAUCCUUGGCAAGGACUGCCAUGCCUGGGAAUGUAUCUCCCACGGGGUCCUCCCUGUGUGUGGGGAGGCUUCUCUAGGGUUGAGGACAGCACUCUGGUCCCAACAACCAAAGUACUAAUAGGGGUUAUUUCACUCACCACUUGGUGGCCUUGGGCUUACCUAAGUCUCUCCAUCUCUUGUCCAGGAGGAUUAAUUGAGUCAGUGCAUAAAAAGUCUGAAGGGAGCUCAGGCAGAGCAGAGGCACCAUCACAAUACAGGCCUUUCUGUCUUUGCUGUGCCAACAAGUAAAGGCUAUGGCAGCCCUUCUCGGGGAUCUUCAGCCCUCUGACCUUCUUGGUGCCUUUUGCUAUUAUUUCUUCCUCUGUUGGCUGCUGCUGUUUUGCUUUGGAUCAUUUGUUUUGGUGUGUUUGUUUUGUUUGUUUUUAUAGAGAGUCACCAUGUGAUGUUGACUGGCCUGGUACUCACUAGGCAGCCCAGACUUAGCCUUGAGUUCAGGGCAAUCCUCCUGCCUCAGCCUUUGUGUUGUUGAAAUUACAGGUCUAGAGCCCCACAACACCCAGCUCAUAAAAUCACACUUGUGUUGAAGCCCAGGCUAGCCUCAAGCUCACCACAUAGCAAAGGAUGACUUUGGACUUGGAGUCCUUCGGUUUCUGCAUCUGAGUACUGGGCUUAAAGCCACGGGUUACUGCCCUGAGCUUAGUAGGUACUGCUGUAGAUAGAACCCAAGGCUUCCGGCCUUCUAAACAGGCGCUCUGCCAACCGAAUUAUAGUUCCAGCCUUCCUUAAUCUUUUUCAUAAUUUCUUUUGUAGGAUUCAGUUCCCUUUCCCUGCAGUUUUAAAGCGCACAGCUCCGUGGUCUUUGGCAUGAUUUUGCUAGAAUUGUGCAAACAACGUCACAGUCAACUGUAGAACAAAUCACCACCUCCUAGGGGGAGCCCCAACCCCAGAGCUCUCCUUCCCUAAGGCAUGACCCCAGACACCCACUAAUGCUUUGUCCUGUCCGUUCCAGUCUUCUCAUGAGAAUGGAAUGGUGUGAUUUGGCCUCCUGUGUCCAAGCCUCUUCCAAGGAUCUCCAGAUCUCUCCUGUGAGCCCACUCUUCUGCACAGGUAUUUCUCCCACGUGGCCAGCCUGAACCUGCUCCGGAUACCCAUUUGCUGGUGAACACUGGGGCUCCCACAAACAUUUCCAGCCAUGUUUGGUGUGGGCAUUCUGGGAAGAUACCUCAGAAAGGAUGUGAGUCUUGGGUGAUUCUGCAUCCCAGCUCCAAAGGAACGUCAAACUAUGUGUGAGUGUGCACCUCGUUGCUUUGCUUUGUCUGAGAGAGGCUUUCGUUCUGUAGCACCGGUGAGCUUGGUACUCACCAUGUAGAGCAGGUUUGUCUCAAAAGUACAGAGAUCCACCUGUCUCUGUCUUCUAGGUGCCAGAAUUAAAGGCAUGCACCAACAUACCAGAACUUCAGAGGUUGGUUUUUCUUUUUUUCUUUCUGGAGACAUGGUCUUGCUGUGUAACUCUAGCUGUCUUGUAACUAUCAGUGGUCCUCCUGCCUCAGCCUCCCAUCACAUUGCGACUUAUAGGCAAGGACCACGGUUCCUAGUUUAAGAGGUUGUCUCUUGUCGUUGAACUCUCUGGUUGACCAUGGUGGCUGAUCUUGGCCCCUUAUAAAGAUAGAUGAUCCAAAAAACUCCCCCAUUUGGAAGUUUGUUUGUUUUCAGUUCCCUGGGUUUAUCAUAUAAAAGUGUUGGCUUGGACAAUGUUCAAUUUAUAAAUUUUUUUUCCUUCUGUUGCCUGUGUUGUCUCUGUUCUUUUUGGAGGGCCUGAGCACUUCAUGAGUGGGGCUGGCACGAACACAGGCAUGUACACAUGUACCGAGGAGGAAGGAUUGUUCCUGGGCAUGGAGAUACAGGGCAAGGAGAGCAAGCUUACUCGUGGGAGCGCCGACUGGUUUAUAAUGCUGGGUGUGAGGCCUUGUUCCCUCUGCUUGUGAAGACUCCUUGGCGUGAAACUAGAACCCCAAAGCCCAUUUGCAUUGUGGGGUAUCUCGUCCCCUCUCUGCCUACCUGACCUCCAACCUCCUCCUUUCUGAGGCUACCCUUGAGCCGUGAGCAGAGGGACACAGGACAGGAAUCACACAGGAUAAGUAAUUUUGACUCACAGAAGCUGUCUUCAAUUGGAUAGAGACAAGUGAAAAUAGGAUUAAAUCGAAAGCCAAGCCAAGAACAGAUGAAGGAAAACUCCCUAAGAGCCGGUCGCCUGGUUGAACGGGCACUGGACAUUGCUAGGCAAUUACAUCACACCCCUGGGCAGCUGCCCAUGCUACCCCAGCCAGACUGCAGCCGUCUCGGGGUGGGAAGAGAGGAUGCGCAUUGCUCUCCCUGUGACUGGUUUAUCUGCACAGGGCUCACUCCUUCCCGAGGAUUAGUUUGGAAACAAUUAAAAUUCUGAGCAAAACGAGCAGAGGCCAGUGGCCAGCAGCGACCCGUGAAGGGCCGUUAGCAACAGAAAUCUCAGCCUGAGGGAUUGAGUUGGCCGCAAACCAGAGAGCACGGAGCAACUCAGCAGGCUGGAGGAGGUCCUGGAGCGAAGCUAGGAGCCAGUAUAGGACAGCAACUGAGAGGUUCUUCUUUAACCCUCUUGCUCCCGCUGCCCACACCCAGGAGGCCUUCUCCAUUCACACUUCAAGAAACAGCAAAUCCAGGCUCAGUUGGUAAAGUGCCUGCACCACACAAAGACCGGUCAGCUCCCACAGUCAGUGUAAAAGAGUCUGGAGUAGUUGUACAUACUUGCAAUCCCAGCUUUGGGGAGAUAAAGACAAGGGGAUUCCCAAGGCUUGCUGGCCAGCCCACCCAACUUUCUAGACAACGUCCGUCCGGAAUAGUGAGAGGCCCUGUCCAAAAGGAAAAAAAAAAGAGUGGAAGGCUCUGAUAAACCACACCAGGAGUAAUUGUUCUCUGGCCUGAGCGCACACACACACACACACACACACACACACACACCACCACCACCACCACCACCACCACCACCACCACCACCACAACCAACAAUAACACACACACACACACACAUUACCAACACACACACACCACUACCACAACCAACAAUAACAGACACACACAUUACCACCAUCCACACAGACAUAUCACCACACACACACACACACACACACACACACACACACACAAACACACACACACAGAAAGAGAGAGAGAGAGAGAGAGAGAGAGAGAGAGAGAGAGAGAGAGAAUGGAAAAUCCAUCUGACUCUUUUUUUUUCUUUUUCUUUUUUUCAGAGCUGGGGACUGAACCCAGGGCCUUGUGCUUGCUAGGUAAGCGCCCUACCACUGAGCUAAAUCCCCAGCACCCUCCCCCAUCUGACUCUUAAGGGGUUGUAGCCAGGAGGCUGUAGGCACUGCAGACUGAGUCCCAUCAGGGUCUCUGCUUCGCAGCUGUAUGACACUGCAGGGACUUGCAGGGGACUAACACAGGCACUUUAUCCCAAGAGUACUUUCAGAGUGUUUUCAAGCCCCCGCUGUCCUCUGUGAGGCUGCUGAGAUGCAUGUGGCCAUCUUUCUGGCAUCUGAAGGAACCAAAUUUAGUCAAGAUGCAGCUGAGGACAAGGUGGCUCUCAGGAGGCAGAGGACUCACCCCAUAAGCCAUUACUGGGGUCCCCUGUAGUCCAGGUACACCUGGACCAUCCGGCCGUGCUGAGUUCACUCCUUCUCCAUAUCACCCCUUCUUGUUUCCUCAGGUCCACAGUACAGACAUGGGUGAGGAGCAUGUAGACGCUGGUCUCGGAGCAUACCUGCUGACCAUCCUCAGGGCAGUGGUAGCUAGUCUUGGGUCAGCAUCAGGAGGCUUCUCCUAAUUUCCUUGCUUCUGUUCCCUGCCUAGGGUGAAGUGGAAACUUAAGGGUUCUUUGGAAAGUCAGUUGUGUGGAUGGUGUUUUGCUGGGGCAGACAUGUGUAGAAGUGGUUUCCUGAAGCAGACACAGGUGAAAGGAUAUUCUGUUAGAGCAAGCACAUGAAAGGACACAUGGUAAAGGAUUCUUCACCAACAACACACAUGUUCUGGCCUGCCUUACAUUGUUUAGGUGAGCUUCAUUUGUCACGACUCCAUAGAGAGAAAUGCACCAAAAAAUUUCUGGUGGUGUAUUGGUGGGUUCUUGCCAUUUUCUUGAACUUGGGACAAUUGGCAGAGUGACGUUGGCUGAUACAGACACACACUGAGGCACGACACACAGUAAGGCAAGACCCAUGGGGGACACAUGAUGUUUGGAUGGUAUAAAUAGGACUCAGCUGACUGGGAGAGGGGCUUGCUUUGCAAUGCUUCUUGGUCUUUUGUCUUCACUGAUCUUUGGCAAAGAACUUCUCCUGGCAUCCCUAAUGGUCCUGGUCCUUCAUGCUGAGCUCUGCUGAUUCAGCUGAGGCCUGGCUGUCCCUGCUAGGUUGUGCCACCACUGCUGCUAUCCCAACACUACUGAACUGGACUGCUGGUGUCCGUGAAGUGCGGGGGAGUGGACCAAGCUGCCGCUGCUGAAUCCAGUGAGCUGGAUUGCUGAUUGCCUUACAACGCAGAUGGGAUCUGCUCCAAAGAACAAUUUCUAAACAGGUCCACUUCCCCCAAAUCCUAAUAACCUUUCUUUUCCACUGCCUCUGUUGGGUGGUGAGCUAGAAGGGAGGUUAAAGCAGUUAAGAACCCAUAUUAAAUGUAGGAUUGAAAAAUUAAAAUCACACUAGGGUCUUCCCCUUUCACACUUACAGUUCUUCAAAUGCAUGGACCCCAAGCAACUGGAAGCCUUCUCUGCUCAGAGGCAAGAUCAGGAGUUCCCAGAAUCAGCUGCCAGGAAAAUGACCCUGGUGUCUGUACCCUCAGAUUACCAAACCCUCCUGAGUGUCCAUGAACCUCGCCAACUGCAGGGACCAGGAUGUUUUCUUGGUUCCUCAUCCCACCUAGGUGCACCAACGGGAUAUGAGCAAGUGUGACAGUGUAGGGGGAUCGUGGAAUGUGCAAAGGUGUGACUUGCACGUGGGAACUGACCACGAGGUCCCCCCAGGACACAAAGUUGAGGACACAGCUCUCAGCAGAAGGCUCUCUGAGAAGGGAGGGUUCAGGAGAGUGAGAGACGGGUCCUCUGUGGAGGGACAGCAUCCUCUGGGAGCACUCAGGGCUCCUCGUCUUCCUCUCUGCUUUCCCAUCCAGUCAGGGACCUGGAGCUGGUGAGUGUCUUGCUCCACCACAGCAAUGAAGAGCCAUUCCCACGCCCAUCCAGGCAGCUACCCAGUGCCAGUGGACGGGACCUGGCGAUGGGUCCUCCAGGGACCUGGUUCGGCCAAUGUCUACAUGUAGGAAUGAGUUUGAACACUGACCCUGGAACCCUGAUCCAGGGUGGUCGUGGGAAGGACUUUACUGAUUCCUUGCUAUUUAAAAACAGGCAAAGUGGCAGGUUGCAGCCAGACCAGAACCAGUGUGUGAGCUGAUAAAUUGUUAGUGGUCAGGACUCUUCCCAGUAGCAGCCAUUGUGACAGGAGGAAGCUACCUCAGAAGAGACUUUCCCAAGGUGGGAGAGAGAUCCCAAUGAGCCUCAGAUUACCGUCAAGUGCAGGGAGCAACUGGCCAAGGGUCAUGUGGUGGCCAGAAGCUGGGCCUGGCCCCUUCCUCCUUGACUUGACUCACGAGUGAUCUGGUAUCCCUCACACCCUAAAAGAAAACCUGGACUACCUCCCAGACCAUCAGGUGUUCAGGGGUUUCCCUAAUUUCCUCCUACAGCCUCUGUCUGAGGCCCUCAUGGACCUCACCCCAGUGUGACCCUGCCUGGGGGUUUCAAGGUAUGUGAGCAAACUUCUGCUUCUGAGAGAAUUCCCCAGUCAGGGAGGAGCGGGGCUUUCCUGCCAGAAUUCAGAGUUCAACAGGCAGCGUCCUGAAUGACCAGCAGUGAUACGGACAGUGGGCGUUCGUGCCUCAAAGAUGAGAGCAGAGCAGAAAACGAUGGGUUAACACACCAGCAGCUGGAACCCUGGAACUCUGGAGUCCUCUUACCCUGCCCGUCCUGUCAUAAGUCCUGGAAGGUGGCCUCCAGAGGUUUAAGAGGUGCGUUGGUGGGUCUUUGAUUAUAUCUUGCCAACUCCGGCCUCCAUCUUGGAUUGGGAGUGUCUAUAGUUCCCUCCAGGGUCUGAUGCCUUGUCUACACACCUUGUACCAUGUUUUAGUCUCUGCCUGCACAGGAGAGGUGACUCCUACCUCCUAGGAGCUGGGCCAUGCCAGCACUUGACCAGCACCAUAGGGCAGACCCCAGAAACCCUAGAAACCCUGAUCUCAGCUGCUGCCAGCUCUGGGCCUUUCUUCUCCAAGAAGCUGACUAGGGCUGAGGUCAGGAGGGUGGGUGUGUACUAUUCUCUCCCUGCAGUGCCUGUGCAUGGGUCCUGAGGGACUGGGCCAGGAGCAGAUUCUAGUUCCUGGUUUUCCUGGAAAAUUCCCUCGGAAUCUACUUGGCCAGAGGCCAAGGCUGCUCAGGGACAUCUCCCUCCUUCCUACUUCAAGCAGAAGCACACAUGACUGGUGGCUGUCACACCCAAUGAGGACAGAACUCCCUGGGGUGAUUCAUCCAACCUCCAGAAGCCCUGGGCUCUCUGUGGGACAUGUAAGGACGGGGACACACUCAGAGCUGGCAAGUGACAACACAAGCUAUGUUCUUCUGGGUCAGGCAGCAUCUUGUGAGAGACAAGGACUGUGCUCACUGCUUCCUUCCUCCCGAGAGAGGAUCACAAUGCAAUUGGGGGGCACCCUAUAAAUCCCAACCAAACUCAGAGAGCCUCUGUCCUGUCUUGGCCGGGCCCUGAAGGACAAACAGGAAGCACCAUGAAUAGUUUGGACCCGUGGGUGCUCUUCUGAAUGGCCUAAGCUGCCACCCAGCAGUUCCCAUCUUUGGAUUUCUCCUCUUGGCCUCAGUUCCCACAUCAGAGAAGUGGACACAGUGGGGUUGGGGAUUUGGCUCAGUGGUAGAGCGCUUGCCUAGGAAGCACAAGGCCCUGGGUUCGGUCCCCAGCUCUGAAAAAAAAAAAAAAGAAGUGGACACAGCAACCUCAGCUGUCCCAAAAAGGGGUAGGCUGAGCACCAUGAAAGCAUCCCAGAAUCUAUUCUACCAGAGGACCCUGGAAGGAGGCAGCCAGUCAGGAUGACAUCUGUGAUUUAAUCAUGGCCAACCGAAGGGUUCUGCCAGCUCCAGUCCUAGUUUUGUCCUCCAGGCCUGAGUCCUCCGUUCCAGUGAACCAAGGAAGAUGAGCUCCCUGAACUCUUGGUCAAGUGAUAACCAAGGACAGGGCUGAGAUUUGGACUUGACAGAGGCGCUGGAUUGGUAACUGCUAUUUUUGCCACUUGGCUCAGACAUGGAAAUCACAAACCUGCUUUUCCAGGUGUUGUGACCCUGGGCUGUGGCUUGCUCCUCUUUCCUCAGUUUCUCUGGCUGCACGGAGUCUUUACAGUCUAGAGGACUUAAGACUCCCUAUCUGGGGUCCUGCUCCGGCCCUGAGGUAGAGUAUAGUCAGCUAGAUUGGGAUGAAGCAGUGUUUCUAGCCAUGUGUCCUGUUGUCUACAAUCUUUUCCCUGGCUCUUGUAGGUCCCCCAAAAGAGAAUCGAGGACAUACUAUGUGUAAAGUACCUUGCCACCCAGGUACUCAGCUGAGAACCCCUCAGAGGCCCGAAUGCCCCAUACCCUGUCACCUACCAUCUCUGUGGAAAUGGCUACUGCUAGGCAAAAGGCACCCUGAGAGGAGGCUGUGAGGACAGGACCAGGUAGCUGUGUCUGCAUUUGAGAGGAAGACAGUGCAUGGACUGGGUCACUGACCCAGCUGAUCUGUGAUUCAGACCCUUUGCUAAGGCAGCUAGCAUGGUCAGUGUUUUAUACCACCUGGAAAGAUCCAGAAACUCUCCUACCUUUUCCUCCACACUCAAACUCACCAGCACACACAGAACUUCCACCUGGAAAAUCUGACUUCCAUUUGAACCACCAGAGCCCAUCACAUUCUCUGUUUCCAUAUGCUCUGUCAGAACGCUGCCUCUGUGGCCAUGCUCUGCAGCCCAGCGAUGCCAACAUCCAGAGUGGGUGAGCAUGAAGGCAACAAGUUGCUGAGUGGGGCCAGCGGCUAGGGAGGGGUUGAGGAGUUACCGCAUUCCUCUCUGUAGUGGUAAGAGUGUGCACACUUGGUUGUGGAGAUGUGAAUGUGUGACAAGCCACAGAUGUACAGUUGGUGAAGGGCAGAACAACAGAGUAUGAGAAAUAGACGUCAAUGAGGCUGGAACCAGGUAUGGUGGCUCAGACCUGUAAUCCCAGCAGGCUAAGUGGGAGGAUCGCUAUGUAGUGACAUACAAGCAGGCAUAGUCCUCAUUGGCCACGAGAUCCUCCACUCAGUAAGCACAGAGCUACGAGUGCUUGGGGACAUAUUAUGUUGACGGUAUACCCGAGAACUGUAAUGUUCUGUUAUACCUCAAGUGUGGCCUUGGAAAUCCAGUGUCUUUGAGGGUAAUUAUUUAAAUAGAGGCUGCAGAAGGUCAGUGAUACUAAUCUGAAGAUAGCAUCUUUAUGGAAACUGGCAGGGAACGGAUUCAGAAGAGCAGUGAAAGAUGCUCUCAGGGGCUUGAGGGACUUGCCCACGGUCAAGAUGGCAGCUCCCGGGCCAGGUGUCCUAGGGUCUUCCAGGGCAAAGAAGCUCUCUCCGUUCCCUAACCGUGUCACCCAGGCUCUCAGGCCUUGGGGAACAGUACACCACUUUGUGGAGGUGGCUGUCCCAGGCCUAAGCUCAAGUUGUCCCAUCACCCAGCCUCUUCCUACCGAAAUCAGCUUUUGCUGACAACCUGUGGGUGUCGGGGGUGUCAGCACCUCCACUCUGUAAAUAACGUCACAGCAGAGGAGGCUCAGAGAAGUUGUGUCAUUGCACAAAGCCACGCAUCAGGAGAAGUAAGCUUGGGGCCUUGGGGGGCAGAUGGUGAUUAUUUUAUAUAAAAUGCACUAGGGGACAAAAGAUUGGGGGCCUAAAAACUCUUUUGAUAAGGUGACCAUUUCCUUUUCUGGAUAUGUAUGCAUGCAUGUGUGCAUGUGCACAUUAUGUAUGAGUGUGUGCAUAUGCACGUGUGUGUGUGUGCGUGUGUGUGUGUGUGUGUGUGUGUGUGUGUGUGUGUGUGUGUUUUGCAGGUUCAAGUGUGUAGAGGCCAGAGAUCAUGCUGAGUGUCUUUCUCGGUUUCUCUUUACCUUAUCUUUUGAGACAGAGUCUCUUGAUGAACCUGGGGUUCACCAUUCAGCAAGUUUAGCUGCAUCAAGCCCCAGGAAUCUGUCUCCACCUCCCAGAGUAGGGACUAUAGGCACAUGCCGCACACUCCUGGCUUUUAUAUGGGUUCUAAGGACCCAAACUGGGGUCCUUGUUUCUGCUUGGCAGGCACUGUGCUAAAUGACCCAUCUCCUUAGCCUCUCUGGUUAUUUUGACAUGCUCCAGUGAACACGAUGUAAAUCUAUUUACAUGAUCAAUGUGGCCUUUACCCAGUUGUCUCUUCUGCUGUGUUUCCUUGGGGCUUUGGGCUGUGAAGGUGAUGGUAGCAGUGACCACAAUGGUACCAAGGACAAUGGCUUCUAUCAUCAAGCACCUGUAAGUUAAUAUCACCUGACUUUCCCUUGGGAGACAUAAAGAAACAUCUUCUCAUCCCAGACAGGGAACUCUGAGAUCAACGUACGAUUCUAGUCAUGUCCAGCUUGCUGAGCCAAUGAGCUUGUUGGGGUUAAUUACUUACAAGAGUGCUGGUGACCCUAAACAGCUGUAUCCCAGAAAAGCCAACCCAGCAGGGUGACAGCUCAUGAAAGCUGCAUCUCUCGUGACCACCCCAGUCCAUUUCCUAGACAACGUACAGCCAGGGCAGGAGGGACGGGUGUCUGGACUCUUAGGCAAGGAUCUGGGGAUGCCUUCUCCUUCCAUAAGGGAGCAGUAAUAGCCCUGUCACUGUUACUGCAGACUCAGUUGUCACUGCAUAGUUCCUCCACAGGCCGAGGUGACCUGUAGAUCACCACAGCAACUUGUUCCAUGACAGCGAUGGUCACGUGACUGGUGAAAAACAGUUCUGCUACGACAGCCACACACUCUUGGAUCAUGCUAAACUAAGUGAGAAAUGUAUUACUCACAGCAGCCAGUAUCAUAAUCAAUAACACGGUUUUGAUGUAUCAUAA